CACGUGGGUGACCUGCCUUCGAGCGGGGGAUAACGUCCCGAAAGGGACGCUAAUACCGCAUGACAUCCUGCCUUUGAAGAGGUGGAGAUCAAAGCUAGGGAUCGCAAGACCUGGCACUCGAAGAGGGGCCCGCGCCUGAUUAGCUAGUUGGUGGGGUAAUGGCUCACCAAGGCGACGAUCAGUAUCCGGCCUGAGAGGGCGGACGGACACACUGGGACUGAGACACGGCCCAGACUCCUACGGGAGGCAGCAGUGGGGAAUUGUUCGCAAUGGGCGCAAGCCUGACGACGCAACGCCGCG
rnacentral:rRNA from 1 species